UUGCAAUUUUUGGACUUAAACGAGGAAUUCCUAGUAAGCGUGAGUCAUCAACUCGCGUUGAUUACGUCCCUGCCCUUUGUACACACCGCCCGUCGCUACUACCGAUUGAAUGGCUUAGUGAAUCCUUCGGAUUGGCUUUUUUUUUCUGGCAACAGAAUUUAAUCGCUGAAAAGUUGGGCAAACUUGGUCAUUUAGAGGAAGUAAAAGUCGUAACAAGGUUUCCGUAGGUGAACCUGCGGAAGGAUCAUUA
rnacentral:ncRNA from 1 species